rnacentral:piRNA from 1 species
UGGAAACUCGAAAUGAGACUUCGGCCC